GAUGAACGCUGGCGGCGUGCCUAAUACAUGCAAGUCGAGCGAACGGACGAGAAGCUUGCUUCUCUGAUGUUAGCGGCGGACGGGUGAGUAACACGUGGAUAACCUACCUAUAAGACUGGUAUAACUUCGGGAAACCGGAGCUAAUACCGGAUAAUAUUUUGAACCGCAUGGUUCAAAAGUGAAGGACGGUCUUGCUGUCACUUCUAGAUGGAUCCGCGCUGCAUUAGCUAGUUGGUAAGGUAACGGCUUACCAAGGCAACGAUGCAUAGCCGACCUGAGAGGGUGAUCGGCCACACUGGAACUGAGACACGGUCCAGACUCCUACGGGAGGCAGCAGUAGGGAAUCUUCCGCAAUGGGCGAAAGCCUGACGGAGCAACGCCGCGUGAGUGAUGAAGGUCUUCGGAUCGUAAAACUCUGUUAUUAGGGAAGAACAGAUGUGUAAGUAACUGUGCACAUCUUGACGGUACCUAAUCAGAAAGCCACGGCUAACUACGUG
rnacentral:rRNA from 1 species